rnacentral:misc_RNA from 1 species
AAGUCGUAACAAGGUCUCCGUAGGUGAACCUGCGGAGGGAUCAUUAACACGUUUCUUAAAAAACGUUUUCCAACCAACACGUGAACUUGAUGAAUAAAAUAUUAAACCCCCGACCUAGUGAAAAGCUUGUUCUCGUCACUUUGCGCUAGUGAUGAGCAGUGACUUUGUCAUUGCGGCGCAUCGAGGCUGGCAAAAGCGAAGGGAAUCUCUUCCUUCGUUCUCUUGCAGAGAACUCUUUUCAUUGGGCUACACAACUCUGUUUCCAUUCUCUCCUCAUCUACUGGGGAAUGGGAACUAAACCCAAUCAAACCAUUUUCACCCCUUAAGACAACUGACUAAUCUCAAUUUAAACUAAGCAAGCACAGGGAAACUUGUCUUGAUUAAUUUAAUCCAAAUAUCUAAAGCACAACUCUUAGCAAUGGAUAUCUUGGUUCUC